CUCCACCUCACUGCAAGGUUUAGAGCCUCUAAAGGAAAAAGAAAAACAAUUGGGAAAAAAAAAAAGGAAACAAAGAAAGGAAAAAAAGUUUAAAAAAGUUUUUAAAGCCGACAGACACCUCCAGAUCUUUUUCAAUGAGCUUGGGAGAGAACGCAAAACUUUUUGAUACUGACUCGACCUUACAAGCAAAUAAAUCUACGGCACCAGCGCACGAGGCAGCUGUCUGAAUUCGAGUCACACACUGAAUUUACACAUGAAAAACGGAGCGAACGCGACAAGACAAUCGCUAUCACAGGUUAACAAACACUUCAAAGCGCAAGGAGAAACUCAGCAGGUGCCCUCCCCAAUUAGCCCAAAAGCCUUUUCUCCUCCAUUGAAAGAAGAGGAAAAGGGAAUAAGAAUGGUCCUUACAAAAACCAAUCCAGCCUUACUAACUGGUGUAAAGCUGUGCCUGCUAACUCUGCUGCAGGACCUGGAUCUCUCUCUGUGGCUGGUGAUGUGCAGCACUCCCUCUCCUGACAUGUGCAAACCUAUCUAUUCAAAUUCUUGUAAAUGGCUUCCUAUCUGCAUAUCCAGCACAAUGAAAUUCCU
rnacentral:lncRNA from 12 species